ensembl:Mt_tRNA
CAAGAAGUAGUUUAAUGAGAAUGUCAGCUUUGGGUGUUGAUGGUGAGGCGUGUUGCUUUCUUCUUGA